UCGUAACAAGGUUUCCGUAGGUGAACCUGCGGAAGGAUCAUUGUUGAGAGAGCAUAAAAUGAUGGAUGGUUGUGAAUGUGUCAACGUGCCCCUUUUGUUGCCCCAUGUUGGUGGGUGAUUGACUGUAGCUCGGUGCGAUCGGCACUAAGGAACAAUGAACUCGAAAGCAGAGGGCCCCUUGGCGUGCACGGGGUGCCCAACGCGUUAAAGAUUCCUCGGAAUCAAAUGACUCUCGGCAAUGGAUAUCUCGGCUCUUGCAUCGAUGAAAAACGUAGUGAAAUGUGAUACUUGGUGUGAAUUGCAAAAUCUCGUGAACCAUUGAGUCUUUGAACGCAAGUUGCGCCCGAGGCCUUGUGGCCGAGGGCAUGCCUGCUUGGGCGUCAUGGCAUCGUCGCUUUCGCUCCAUGCUUUGAUGUUUUGGAGUGCGAAAAUUGGCCUCGUGUGCCCUCGGGCAUAGUCGGCUGAAGAAUGGGUAACCAGCAGUCGUCGGGCACGAUUGGUGUUGGUCGUUAUGAGCGGGAACUAAACAUCGUCCUCGUCGUCGUGGGAUGAGUCCUCAAGAGACCCUAUGUGAUUGGGGCAGCAGGCGAAUGUGUCGCGUCCAUCAAAUUGUGGCCCCAAGUCAGGCGAGGCCACCCGCCGAGUUUAAGCAUAUCAAUA
rnacentral:rRNA from 1 species